GACGUAGGGCGCAAGCGUUGUCCGGAUUUACUGGGCGUAAAGAGCGCGCAGGCGGUCGUUCAAGUCGAGUGUGAAAGCCCCCGGCUCAACUGGGGAGGGUCACUCGAUACUGAUCGACUUGAAGGCAGGAGAGGGAAGCGGAAUUCCCGGUGUAGUGGUGAAAUGCGUAGAUAUCGGGAGGAACACCAGUGGCGAAGGCGGCUUCCUGGCCUGUUCUUGACGCUGAGGCGCGAAAGCUAGGGGAGCAAACGGG
rnacentral:rRNA from 1 species